rnacentral:lncRNA from 1 species
CUGGAUAAUUUCACAAACUUCUCAUGCCGUAAGGUGUUGUGUCACAAAUUAAAAGGAGAAGCAAAUCACGUAAAUGCAUGCUCAUCACGAGAAAGCAAAAAGCUUCUCAUGGUAAGCUAUUGCAUCACAAAUUAAAAGGAGAAGUAAAUCACGUAAAUGCAUGCUCAUCACGAGUUUCUGUUGAAUUUUUCACAAACGAUCUCUACCGAUCAAAGAGAGGAUAACCAAGGCCAAAUUGAUGCAAUCAUAAGGUACUUAUCAUUUUGCCUUCGUUUGUUGCAUUAAUAUGUUGAAGCCUUCUGCAGAUUUAGUUGGAAUCCAUGUUCAAUCGUUUCUCAAAUCCUUUCUUUAGUUUUCCUCUAGUGAUUCCUCUUGAUUAUGAAAGAGUUUUUGUCCAAUUAGUUGAUGAGUUUUCUACUGCUAACGUCAUCCGAAAUUUAGCACCUUAAUAUGGGUAGAUGAAUUAUAUGAAACUAUUAAGAUGCUAAUUACUAAUAAGAGAAAACCUAAGUGUCUUUAU